AUGAGAUUUCCCAUUUCCUUCGGGAAAGUAAGACCCCUCAGAGAUGAUGAGGUAGAUAGGAUGGAAGUGGAAGUGCCUUGAGGCAUGGAGCGGACCAUUACUAAUCGGUCGAGGACUUAACCAAG
rnacentral:rRNA from 1 species